CCCGCGGGCGGGCCGAGCUACACCAGGGGUCGCAGCUUCCAAAACGGGAGGCGCUAAAGAAGGUGGUUUUCCUUUCCACUGACGGCACCUGGACCCCGCGCUCGGCCCUCCCCCAGGUCGUUCGGUGAGAGUCGGUCAGCGAGGCGUGUGGGGCCGAUGUCUAUGUCAUGGGUCACACGUAAGGGCACGUCGUCCUGUUCGUACAAACUUCGUUAAGUGCCAGGGAGCCACAGGACACGCUACGCAGUGGGACCUGGUGCCACCCCGUCUGCUCACUCGGGACGCUGCUGCAGCUCGGGGACAGCGUUCCGUGGACAGGGCUCCCUGCGCUGGAGAAAGUCGGUUCGAGCAGUCAGUGAGCAGGUUUUAAAGAGACUUGACCCAGCGUGAUAUACACCUCAGUCCAGCCCAGUUGAAAACACACACACGCCUUCAUCAACUGAGGUUUCUUUCUGACAAGGAUGUUACCACGAUUUUGGGCAUGCACAUGCGCCUGGUGUGAGUUUGAAGCCGCUGGGUCUGGGACUCGAGCCAGAGUCCACUGUCCGAGUUCAGCGACGACUAUUAGGCCAUCCCCACCUUUGGGUCUCGGUGUCUCCCACUGCCCUCCGGCCUGUCUCCGGCCCUCCGUCUGCCGGAGGAUGCAGACAUGCGGUGUGUCCGGUGGGUGUGCAGCUCGUGCCUUGCAGUCUGGCUUACCUCACUCCGCACUCAGUCUCCCAUAUUCAGCCACUUUGAGUCGACCACAGUGUUGUCCCUGUGGCUGAGAACAUUCCAGCGUCCAAGCGCCUCGACCUGUCAGCCCUUGGGCGCCCGACUCAUGUCUUCAUGGUUGGAAAUGGACUGUGAUCAACGCGAAGUGCGUGUCCUUCCGACCACGUGCUUUCCUGUCCUCCGGGGAAGUGGGUCACGUGGAGGGGUCUCCGUGUUGUCCUCCACACUGGCCGUACCAACCCUCACGCCCACCAGCUGUGUGGGAGGCUCCCUUUGCCGUGUUGCCAGCUCCCCUCCUCUCGUUUCGGUCAUAGCCAUUCUGACAGGUUAGGUGGCACCAUCGCAGUGCUGUUUUGUUAUUUUUUAAGAAUUAUUUUUUCAUUCCAUUCGUUGUUAUUCUUAAAUUUUGACC